rnacentral:rRNA from 1 species
CCCUUAGAUGUUCUGGGCCACACGCGCGUUACACUGAUGAAGCCAGCGAGUAUAACGCCUUCACCGGAAGGUGCGGGUAAUCUUGUGAAACUUCAUCGUGCUGGGGAUAGACCAUUGCAAUUAUUGGUCUUGAACGAGGAAUUCCUAGUAAGCAUGAGUCAUCAACUCGUGCUGAUUACGUCCCUGCCCUUUGUACACACCGCCCGUCGCUACUACCGAUUGAAUGGUUUAGUGAGAUCUCGGGAUUGGAGACGUUGCGCCGCAAGGCACAUCGUCCUCGAGAACUUGAUCAAACUUGAUCAUUUAGAGGAAGUAAAAGUCGUAACA